CCAGACUCCUACGGGAGGCAGCAGUGGGGAAUAUUGCACAAUGGGGGAAACCCUGAUGCAGCGACGCCGCGUGAGUGAAGACGUAUUUCGGUAUGUAAAGCUCUAUCAGCAGGGAAGAAAAUGACGGUACCUGAUUAAGAAGCCCCGGCUACCUACGUGCCAGCAGCCGCGGUAAUACGUAGGGGGCAAGCGUUAUCCGGAUUUACUGGGUGUAAAGGGAGCGUAGACGGUGAUGCAAGUCAGAAGUGAAAGCCCGGGGCUCAACGCCGGGACUGCUUUUGAAACUGGGUGACUGGAGUGCAGGAGAGGUAAGCGGAAUUCCUGGUGUAGCGGUGAAAUGCGUAGAUAUCAGGAGGAACACCAGUGGCGAAGGCGACUUUCUGGACAAUAACUGACGUUGAGGCACGAAAGUGUGGGGAGCAAACAGGAUUAGAUACCCUAGUAU
rnacentral:rRNA from 1 species